GUGCAUGGAUUCGCUUUAUAAAAUUUCAAAGCAUUAUGCUUCUACUCUAAAUGAAUGUAAACAUCUAGUAUUUAUUGUAAUAGUCAGCUUCUACUUUAAAUAAAUGUAAACAUCUAAUUGUAUUGAUAGUCAUACAAAUUGGCAAUAAGCAUGACACAUGUUGAUGCACUCGUAAAAGAUAAUCUUAUAGCAUUAUGAUGGCAA
rnacentral:lncRNA from 1 species